AGAUACUUCAUGUCUGCCAAACAGUUUUGAGCCAAUAUUCCUUCCCUCAUAUUCUUCUGACCAGCAUAGUGAGCCUUGGUGGAACGCUCCCCGACCAGUCAUCUCGGUAGAAGACCUCCAAAGUGAUAUAGGGGGAACAGAUGUAACUCUCAAUCCUGCUAGAUAUCCAAAACGAUUGGCUCCAAGGAGAAGUAUAAUGAAAAGGAAAUAGGAAAGGCAGAAGAAAGCUCUUCAUCCCAUAGCAGCCAAGGGGAAGAGAGAGGAAGAAAGGAAAAUCCAGAGAAAGAAUGCACCCUUUCGUGCACAGUCCAGUAACCCAUCCUUCCAACCAGGCGGUACCACUAAACAGCACAGGAACUAAUGAACUCACUGAUACAUGAAUCCACUGAUGAGUAUAGCACCUACAUUAUUCCAUCACCUACAAAACAAAAUUUUUA